UACGUAGGGUGCAAGCGUUUGUCCGGAAUUAUUGGGCGUAAAGAGCUCGUAGGCGGUCUGUCACGUCGGCUGUGAAAACCCGAGGCUCAACCUCGGGCCUGCAGUCGAUACGGGCAAACUAGAGUACUGCAGGGGAGACUGGAAUUCCUGGUGUAGCGGUGAAAUGCGCAGAUAUCAGGAGGAACACCGGUGGCGAAGGCGGGGUCUCUGGGCAGUAACUGACGCUGGAGGAGCGAAAGCGUGGGGAGCGAACAGG
rnacentral:rRNA from 1 species